rnacentral:sRNA from 1 species
UUUCCGGCCGGUCCCCAUGGAGGCGCUGGGGAAGCUGAAGCAGUUCGAUGCCUACCCCAAGACUUUGGAGGACUUCCGGGUCAAGACCUGCGGGGGCGCCACCGUGACCAUUGUCAGUGGCCUUCUCAUGCUGCUACUGUUCCUGUCCGAGCUGCAGUAUUACCUCACCACGGAGGUGCAUCCUGAGCUCUACGUGGACAAAUCGCGGGGAGAUAAACUGAAGAUCAACAUCGAUGUACUUUUUCCGCACAUGCCUUGUGCCUAUCUGAGUAUUGAUGCCAUGGAUGUGGCCGGAGAACAGCAGCUGGAUGUGGAACACAACCUGUUCAAGCAACGACUAGAUAAAGAUGGCAUCCCCGUGAGCUCAGAGGCUGAGCGGCAUGGUAACCAGGGGAGGGGGCCGGGUCUCAGAUCCCAAAGCUGGACGUACCCAAGCCUAUCUGCUAGCAAGUGAACUGUGACAGGCAUAGUGAUACAUUAAACAACUAAGAGCUAGAGAAGUCAAGUGACUUGCCUAGGGUCCCCCAGCUAGUAAGAGUCAGAGUGAGCUAAAAUCCUCUAUACAUAUCGAGUCAGGUAAUCUACCUGGCUAUUAUUCUCAGAGGUCCUCAAUACCUGCAGAUGGUAGUUUGAAUACCAGAGGUUUGAAGAUAGGUCUUAUGUGCUCUUGCCUUGGUAGAACUGUCUAGAUGGACCCAGGCUUCUCUGAGUGUUUGCUUUCCCAGCCCAUUGGCUUAAUUCAGCCCUUAAUGCUCUUCCCCUUUGGAAUGCAGGUGGUUUAAUGAGAAUUUAGGUUCUCAAGUCAGAUUGCCUGGGUUCACAUCUAGCUUUGUCUCCUGCAGUCUGUGAGCUUCAGCUAGAAAGUGGUGAUAAAACAGUAGUACCAACCACAUGGAAUUGUAAGAUCAAAUGAAGUCAUAUGUGUAAAAUGCCUGGUACAGAGUGGGUACCCACUUUUACCUUCCUUUCCUUUAUCUUGGUGGCUUCCCAAUGCCUCCGUUAACUCAGUUUCCCACCACAGCAAAACUGUCCUCAAAGCUGGGAUUUCUAACACCUUAGAGAUUACUCUGGUGGGGAGUUUUAUCAUUCGUUGUUUCAGCAGAUUAAUGCAGGACACCAGUGGAACCAACAUAAUUUGCUAUAGGACUGGAUGUGGAGUGGAGGAGAGCAAAGUCAUGGUUGUUGAUUCCAACGCUUUCAGCCUGAGCAAAUGAAUGACUUGAGAUGGAGAUGACUGGAGGAGAAGGUUUUUUUGGUGGGAGGGAGGAGUGGCUAUUGGAUAUCCACUGCUGUGUAACAAAGUACUCCAAAAGUUAGUAGUUUGAUACAAUAAAAAUGUGUUUUUUCAGUUUCCCUGGGUCAGGAAUUUAGGAGUGGCUUGUUUGGGUGAUUCGGGAUUAGGGUAUCUCACGAGGUUGCAGUCAUCUAAGGAUUGAUGGGGCACUGCAGAAUCUACUAUCUAUCUAUCUAUCUAUCUAUGUAUCUAUCUAUCUAUCUAUCUGUCUAUCUUGAGACAGUCUCACUCUGUCGCCCAGGCUGGAGUGCCGUGGCGCGAUCUUGGCUCACUGCAACCUCCGCCUCCCAGGUUCAAGUGAUUCUCCUGCCUCAACCUCCCGAGUAGCUGGGAUUACAGGCCUGUGCCACCAUGCCCAGCUAAUUUUUUGUAUUUUUAGUAGAGACGGGGUUGCACCUUGUUGGGCCAGAUGGUCUUGAUCUCUUGACCUCGUGAUCCACCCGCCUCAGCCUUCCAAAGUGCUGGGAUUACAGGCAUGAGCCACUGUGCCUGGCCUACUUAUUUGUUGUUUAAAUUUAUUUUUUUUUCGUCAAGGUGUUCUUUAUUUCAGAGAGAGGGCAGGACAGGGGGCUCAGUCUUUCUUGGCAUCAGCUUUCCUCAUGAUGGCUGGGACAUUGCUCAGCUCCUCCUGCCUCCUCUUAGUGCAGAUGUGUGUCCCCACUCUUUUCUUGAUGAACUUGAGGGCCCGUUUGUCCUUGGAGACCUUGAGUAACACCAUGGCGUGCCGCUCAUACGGGGCGAAACCACACACCUCUCGAAUCAUGUCCCACAUGAAUUUGGUGUGUUUGGUCAGGCGCCCGCGGCGGCAGCUGUGCCUGGGCUUGCUCAUGUUCUUGGUCAUCUUGUGGCCCUUGUGAAGGCACACGGCCAUAGUGGGUAGCACAGAGCCAUGGCUGCUGCUCUCCAAUGGCAGCUGUGGCAGAAGGGCUGGUGCCUCGCGGGGAUCUACUUUUUUUUUUUUUUUUUUGAGAGUCACGCUCUGUCACCCAGGCUGGAGUGCAAUGGUGCGAUUUCAGCUCACUGCAACCUCUGCCUCCCGGCUUCAAGUGAUUCACCUGCCUCAGCCUUCUGAGUAGCUGGGAUUACAGGCGCCUGCCACCACACCCGGCUAAUUUUUGUAUUUUUGGUAGAGACAGGGUUUCAUCAUCGUGGCCAGGCUGGUCUCAAACUCCUCACCUCAGGUGAUCCACCCGCCUUGGCCCCCAAAGUGUUGGGAUUACAGGCAUGGGCCACCACGCCCAGCAGGGGAUCUGCUUUUAAAGGGCUCACCACUCAUAGGGCUGUUGGCAGGAUGCCUCAGUGCCUCACCACAUGGGCCUCUCAGUAGGGCUGCUUGUGUGUCCUUAUAUCACGGCAACUGGCUUCCCCCACUUGGAUCUUGCAAGUGAGCUGAGAGAACAAAGUAGAAACCAUAACCUUUGGCCGGGCAUGGUGGCUCACGCCUGUAGUCCCAGCACUUUUGGAGGCUGAGGCAGUUGGAUCACCUGAAGUCAGGAGUUCAAGACCAGCCUGGCCAACAUGGUAAAACCCCCAUCUCUACUAAAAAAUAA